rnacentral:rRNA from 1 species
UACGUAGGGACCAAGCGUUGUUCGGAUUUACUGGGCGUAAAGGGCGCGUAGGUGGCACGGGUAGUCGUCGGUGAAAGCUCAGGGCUCAACCCUGAGUCGGCCGGUGAUACUCCCGAGCUCGAGUGUGGUAGAGGCCAAUGGAAUUCCGGGUGUAGCGGUGGAAUGCGUAGAGAUUGGGAAGAACACCCGUGGCGAAAGCGCUCUGCUGGACUGCAACUGACAUUGAGGGACGAAAGCUAGGGGAGCGAAUGGG